GAGCUCUUUUGAAGAGUUCUCCUUUCCUUUCUUCCUUUCUGACUCUUGUGCUUGUAAGUGUUUGGUAUGACACUUUGUGCCAAGCUUGUUUGGGUUUGUUUCCUUUAAUGCAAAACAUAGCGCAUUUGUAACAAAAAACACAUUUCAGACAUUUCAUCUGAUAAUAAUGAGUAAUCCACUGUGGACUAGACUAGACUGCAUAAUCUAAUUUGGUGUACUGUAAUCUAAUAUAACUUCUAUUUUAAUUGCAUCCUCACAACAGGGGGUGGGGGACCCCAAACUGUGACCAUCCCCGGCUCAACCAAGCUUUAUCAGCAUCAUGAUAAUGUUGACACAUUAUCAUGAUG